AGCGAACAUUGGCGGUAGGCUUAACACAUGCAAGUCGAGCGAGGCGUAAUAGUCGAGCGGCGAACGGGUGAGUAAUACAUGGGAAUCUACCUCGAAGUGGGGGAUAACGUUCAGAAAUGGACGCUAAUACCGCAUAAUCAAGGAAUUGGAAAGCGCGCUGCGCUUUGAGAUGAGCCCAUGGCUGAUUAGCUAGUUGGUAGGGUAAAGGCCUACCGAGGCGACGAUCAGUAGCUGGUCUGAGAGGAUGAUCAGCCACACUGGAACUGAGACACGGUCCAGACUCCUCCGGGAGGCAGCCGUGGGGAAUCUUGCGCAAUGGGGGCAACCCUGACGCAGCCAUACCGCGUGUGUGAUGAAGGUCUUCGGAUUGUAAGGCACUUUCGGUAGGGGCGACGAUGACGGUACCUACAGAAGAAGACACGGCUAACUUCGUGCCAGCCGCCGCCGUAA
rnacentral:rRNA from 1 species